GGGGCUGAUUCUGGAUUCGACGGGAUUUGCGAAACCCAAGGUGCAUGCCGAGGGGCGGUUGGCCUCGUAAAAAGCCGCAAAAAAAUAGUCGCAAACGACGAAAACUACGCUUUAGCAGCUUAAUAACCUGCUCUGAGCCCUCUCUCCCUAGCUUCCGCUCUUAAGACG
rnacentral:tmRNA from 1 species